rnacentral:rRNA from 1 species
UACGUAGGGACCAAGCGUUGUCCGGAAUCAUUGGGCGUAAAGAGCGUGUAGGCGGCUUGUUAAGUCUUGCGUGAAAUCUCGGGGCUCAACCCCGAGCGGUCGUGAGAAACUGGCAGGCUAGAGUGCGGGAGAGGAGAGUGGAAUUCCUGGUGUAGCGGUGAAAUGCGCAGAUAUCAGGAAGAACACCGGUGGCGAAGGCGGCU